rnacentral:rRNA from 1 species
UACGUAGGGUGCGAGCGUUAAUCGGAAUUACUGGGCGUAAAGCGUGCGCAGGCGGUUCGUCGUGUCCGAUGUGAAAGCCCCGGGCUUAACCUGGGAAUGGCCGUUGAAACUGGCGAACUGGAGUGUGGCAGAGGGGGGUGGAAUUCCGCGUGUAGCAGUGAAAUGCGUAGAGAUGCGGAGGAACACCGAUGGCGAAGGCAGCCCCCUGGGCUAACACUGACGCUCAGGCACGAAAGCGUGGGGAGCAAACAGG